rnacentral:lncRNA from 1 species
CUUCAAAGUUCCCUUCCUGUCUUCAUUCUUCAUCAAUUAAAUUAAAUUCCUGAAAUGCAGAACAAUUUAACUGUCUUUAAAUUCUUUUGCUAAUUUAUCACCUAAGCAUCCACCUUCACCCAAAUAGUUAACCAAAGCAAUUUUAAAAAUAAUUUCCUCACGAAGAAUUCUGUUGCCAGCUGUUAAUUUAAAAAAGUAUAUAUAUAUACUUGCAUAUAUAUAUAUAUGCACAUAUACGCACACAUACAUAUAUAUAUAUUUUUUCUUUUUUUUGGCUGCACCUACAGCAUAUGGAAGUUCCCAGGCCAGGGACUGAAUCCGAGCUGCAGCACAGCUGCAGCAACCAGAUCAUUAACCCACUGUGCCACAGCAGACACUCCCUAAACUUUAUAUUUUUGACCUUCUGAAAAUUUCCCAAGGUUUCUGAUUGCUGAAUGCAUUCUUCCUUGUUGUGCAGCGCUGGCUCAGAUAUCUUAAAUUUUUUGGUGACUCUUUAAUAACAUGAAUCUGGGGGACACUUAGAAACUAGAAGAUGAAAUAUUUGGGAGAGAAUUAUAGCAAAGACUAUAUAGGCUUUUUAAUUUUUCCUGCUAUGUAGCGAAUGACCACAAACUUAGUGGCUUAAAACAGUGCACAUUUAUUAUCCCUCCGUUUCUAUGCAUCAGGGAUCCAGGUUUAGCUUAGCUGGGUUCUCUGCUCAAAGUGCUGGCUAGGUUGCAUCUUCAUCUGGAGGCUGGAUGGGGAUGACUCUUCUUCCAUACGUAUUCAGGUUGUGGCAGAGUUCAUUUCCUUGUGGUUUUAUGACUGAACGUCCCAACUUGUUGCUGGCUGUCAGCUGGAAGCUGUUCUCAGGUCCAAGAUGCCAGCCAUGGUUCCUAGAGCCAUAGUUCCUAGAGCCAUGGCAUCCUAAACAGACUGCCCAAUUUAUCAAGUCAGCAAGGAGGAUCUCUGAAUGCAGGGAGGCCUCAGUCCUUUUAAAGGACAUUCAUCUAAGUCAGCUCCACCCAGGAUAAUCUCCCUUUAAAUACCCCCAAAUUAAUUAUUUGGAACCUUAAUUACAUAUGCAAAAUCUUUUCACUUUGCCAUAUUGUAUUGGUUAGAAGUAGGUCACACGCAAGGGGUAAAGAUUACAUAUGCUCUGGACACAAAGGGGGAAGGGAUUAUCAGGGCUAUUUUAGAAUUUGCCUACUAUCAAUUACUUACAGAAAAAGUUAGUUAUAACUUUUAAACUCUACCACAAUAUUUCCUGGGUGCUUCUGACAGAGCUACUUGACUUGAUAGCAAAAGCCUAGCAAUACUUCUAUUUUCUCUGUGGAGAGAUGCCAACACUGCCAGGGGUGGAAGUGACCAAUGGCCAGAGGUUUUAGGAAGGUAACUGGAUCUGGAACGCUGUUUUCUCACCUUGAACUGGAUGCAUUCACUUGAGUGAGGCACAGAGAUUUAGGGGAGGGAAAGGACACCACUUCUCUGGGUCCAUGAUCCUGUGUCCCAUCUCUUGGUCCUUGGGAUAGCAAGAUUCAGAAUUCGUGAGCUUAGCCUGCCCAUCUCUGGGGAGCCGAAUAUGUGGCCUGAAGGGUUAGCUAUGCCCUGUAGUCCCUGGAAGUGGUUGUCCUGGGUCUUGGCGGGUUGGGUAGGGUAAGGCCACAUUGACCAGAUUCAAGGCUUCAGAGAGUGAUGAGAGGGCCAGAGACUGGCACUGUAGGGCAAGACCCUCUGUAACCAUGGACUUGACAAUAGCUUGUGCCACUGAGAAUGGCUGAGAUUGAGGGGAACGCUCUUACAGCUCUUGGCCACACGCCGUGAUCCCUUUUGUCCAAGGUGCCUGCCAGUGAAGAGGGCCCAAAAGAGGGCUCAGCUCCAAGAACCAGAGGGAACCUGGGUUGUCCUGGGAUGAUUGCUGUGAACUGAGAUCUCACCGAGAUGAACCAGAUGACGCAGACUGCUGGAUCGUGUGGCCUUUGCAAUGCUGGUAUGGUCAGGGACCAUGCUGCCGUCUUGCUAAAGAGGGGCAGAGCCUAGGAAGGGGGAAUGGUCAUCACAGAGCCUAGGAAGGGGCGGCAGCUGGGCAGUGCAACAUCUGCAUUGAACAAGGAAGACUGUGUCUUGGUCCUGGCCAGAGAGUAUAAAUGUCCAUACUGCGUAUAAUCCUGUAAGGGAGAUGCUGCACAGAACUAACUGCCAGGCUGGAAGACUAGCAUGUCUCCAGCUUGCCAUCAAGGGCGCAAAACAGCUGAUCUGCCUGCCCGUGAUCUGCAUUCAUAAGCAUUCUUACUGGCUUGCUUUGUUUUCUUUUUUCUUUUUCUUUUUUCCUGCUUGAAAUAUUUUUUAAAAAUUUGUAUACAAUUUUUAAAGGUUAUAUUCCUUGUACAGUUAUUUCAAAAUAUUGGCUAUAUUCUCCAUGUUGUAAAUACAUCCUUAUGGCCUAGAUUACAUCUGAUAAUUUGUACCUCCCACUCCCCUGCCCCUAUAUUACCUCUUCUCCACCUCCCCACUGGUAACCCCUACUUUGUUCUCUGUAUCUGUGAACUUGCUUCUUUUUGUUAUGUUCACUAGUUUGUGGUAUUUUUUAGAUUCCACAUAUAAGUGAUGUCACCCAGUAUCUGUCUUUCUCUGCUUACUGGAUUUCUGGUAAAUAAUUAAUACACAGUGGUACCUAGUCAAUUGUACAAUUAAUACAUAGUACAAUUAAUACAUAUUCUGGUCUGAAUGUCAGUCUGAGUUUGGUGCCUCUGGAAGAGCUCGCAGGAUUAGAUGGAGGCUGAAGGAACUCCCCAGAGGCAAAAGGACCAGCCCCCAUCGUGACCUCGAAAGACAGCAUCUCUUAGUCUCCAGCUGUUAACACACAUCUGGUGUCAGCCACCUUCCUCCACUUCCUCUCACCUCUUCAGCCACUUCUGUGGCUUCCUCGCCCUCAACCUACAGGCUGCUGCUGCAGACCCUCAGGGGCCUCUUAAAGGGGUUGGGGCAAGAUGCAGAGCUGGAACCCACGCUGGAGAUAUGACUGGGAGAGUGCAUGAGUCUUACUUAGAGCCAGGCAUGGGAAGGCCGAGGCUUGUCACUGAAUGAAACAGAAGAAACAAAGACCCACUUCUGGAAGCCAGGGGGCUGUCUGGCUUCCUGGAGGGGCACGCAGUGCUGAUCAGACUUGGGGAGUUGCCUGUGUGCCUCAGAGGCUGCCUGGGUGCGAUGGAGGGAUAGUUGUGUUUAUGCUACUCUUGGCCCAGGACUGUGGUCUGCACUGAUUGCAUUGCACACUUAGCUUUCAAAGGUUGACCAGCCAGGUCUUUGUCGUCAGCCUCUGCUUGCAGGUGGGUUGCCAACUGGCCCUUCAUUGCCCACCCAGCUUUCAUCGGCUUUUUUGUCACCCAGGUCAUUGCCCUUAAUUCCUGGGACUUCACCAGUUUCCCAAGAACAAAUGAUUCAUACUACUUCUAGUCUCCUGCUGUGUAUUAGCCUACAUUUUUGCAAACGCUGACAAAGUGUGUGAAUGGACCUAACCUUUUUAGGCUCUAUGACUUGGGCUUUGCAUAAUCGUUUGCAUACUGUGCUGCACUCUGGUAAACUGAAAGAAAAAGAUACUGUUGGGACUAAGCCUCAGCAAAAACAGCUUAUUUUGUGCAGAUACUUUCUGGGGGGAAUGAGACCCUAAGACUUGAGUCUGAAAGACAGAAUGCCCGGCUGUACUGAACUCUUAAGCACUUCAACCCAGAAGCUCCCAAAUUCCCUGAUCUUAGUGAAUUCCUCUCUAAUUCUGAGGAGGUUCCUCGAGAACCCUACUCUGAGGGUGGUGAUAAACCACUAGAAUCAUUUAAAUCUCUAUUUAUAAGACAUGAUAAACACUUACAAAAAGCUUUUUGGAAAAACAAUCCUCCAUAGCACAUUGGGAUGGCACUGGACCCCCCCCCCCCCCAUAAAAGAAACCAUAGCUUAAGUCUGUCUGAGUUAGAUUUUGUUUUGGAAAUCCUCUGAACUCAAUACCCAGGCCGCAUACUCUAUGCCACAUACUUUAAGCCCAAAGAGAAUUUUAAAAUUAUUAUUAUUCUCAGGAAUAAACUUGCUGAACCACCACGGUUUUUGUUUUAACUACUAGUUUGCUGAAUAUCACUGUCCAGUUGGCUUGGAGUUGCCCUGGAUGCACCCUUGAGCCCAUCUUCUGAGCCCGUCCAUCACUUGGAGAAGUGCAUUAUGGGCAGACCUCCCUGCUAACUAUAAAGCCUUGGUAGCAAUUUCAAAUUAGUGGGGAGUGAGAGACCACUAUGAAAGUAUGGGAAUAAAUGUCCAGUCGUUUGGGGGACAAUUUGUUUGCAAUAAGUAUGAUUAAUAAAGUGUUAAUAGGCUUAGGUAAAAGCUUUAUACAUCAAUAGCAAACAUUGUAAGAGCCUCCUGCAAGGGGGAAGCAUGAUCAGAUAUCUCACAAUAAGUUCUGCUGAUAUUUGUCUUGGAAGUCACACCUGUCUUUUAAUUUUUCUCGCACCAACAAAAACGGAGCAGCAGAUGAAGAACGUGAGAAUGUGGGAGUAAAAAGUCAGAUUGGACAUCAACUGACCCAAACGUCCACUGUCCAAAGGCCAGGUGGAUUUCCAUCCCAUUUGCACAGCCUGUGUCUUUGACCUUUCAAUUCCCAGAUAACACUUUUUUCUUUUCUGGCCUAAUACUACUCUUCUCUAAUUGAUGGGUUCCGAUGGAUUGCAUCUGUCUAAAACAUGUUUCUUUUUUCCUCUCUCUCUUUUUUUUUAGGGCCGCACCCAUGGCAUAUGGAAGUUCCCAGGCUAGGGGUCAAAUUGGAGCUAGAGCUGCUGGCCUAUACAAAGCUCACGGCAACGCUGGAUCCUUAACCCACUUAGUUGGGCCAGGGAUUGAACCCAUAUCCUCAUGGAUACUCUUUGGUUUCAUUACCACUGAGCCACAGUGGGAACUCCUGUUUCUUUUUCCUUUUUUUUUUUUUUUUUUUUUUUUUUUGCCACACCUACAGCAUUCAGAAGUUUCCAGGCCAGGGAUUGACUCCAUACCACAGCAGUGACAACACCAGAUCCUUAACAGCUAGGCCACCAGGGAACUCCUAAGGCAUGUUUCUUAAACCCAGAGUAGGACUAGAUGAGUGUCCUCUAUCUGGAGUGUAGCCAAGAAACUUCCCAAGACACUUCCAAAGGAAUGAACCUGAAAGUGUAAAAUUCAGUUCCUUCUGCUAUUAGUUUCACAUUCGUUCUGAGGAGGUUAGACUCUUGCCUGAUUGAAAAGAACUGAUGUCAUGUGCUUUCAUUUUGGCCCCAAAUUUCCCCCGUGAUUGAGAAAUCAGUCCAACCUUCAUUGCACGACACCCAGCAAGUAUUUUACUAAGUGCCUUCAGUGAUGGACAGUGGUCAGGAGGGAUGAGCAGAAAUGACAGCGGGAAGGAAAGGAUGCAGGAAGAAGAGGAGGGAAGGGGUAGCAAAGGCAGGUGGAGUCUGAGCUGGACCUUGAAGGACGAAUAGGGUUUUGUCAGGUGGAAAAGACUAGCAGGGAAAUUCCAGUAAUGGGAGGCGGAGGGGUAUAAAACACGAACAAAGGCAGGAAAUUUCAUAGACACAUUAAGGACCACAAGAGAGGCACCGUCCAACGGAAGAGAGAGGUGACCAAAGUGAAACAUGAAGGAGUGGAUGGUGCAUGGGUUUGGGGGAGUGCUGGAGGGAGGCAGAGAGCCCAUGUUGGAAGGGGAAGCUGUGCUGACUAAGCCUUCGAAAACAACAUUUACGAAGAAGACAACAUCUGCCAGACAAAUUGUGACUCUGAUGAGACUUGCCCAAAACAUACUAGAUCUUCAUCUAAAUUAUACUUCUCCUUCUAAGGAGUUACUGUGAAAAACUCAAUAAACACUUAUUCCAGGGAUGCUAUUAGUGUUUUAAAAAGUCUGUAGACAUCCCCUUUGGGAAGUGCAUAUGUUUGUGAGCUACCAAAAAACACCAAGUGGCUUUAUGACCUCACAGCUUUCUGUCUCUGUUUCUCUGCAGAUGGUGUGAAAACCUUCUCUGCAGAUGCAUAUAAAAUAUAUAUCAUUAAAACUCAGCCAGUUGGACAUUUAUAAACUAGAACAUGUGGCAAACAGUGUUACCUAAUUCCCCAAAGCCAAUACAAUCUGAAAAGGAUUUCACUUAUGGACUCAGAUUACCAAAGAAAUGUGCUGCAGGCUGUGAUGGGGUCUUUUUUUUUUUUUUUUUUUUCUUUUUUCUCUUUUUUUCUUAGGGCUGUACCUGUGGCAUAGGGAAGGUUCCAGGCUAGGGACUGAACCAGAUCCUUAACCCACGAAGCGAGGCCAGGAUGGAACCUGUAUCCUCAUGGUUACUAGUUGAGUUCUUCACUUACUGAGCCACAACAGGAACUCCUGUGAUGAUAGUCUUUAAGGAGGGGGUCCCACAGUAUUUUGAGUGGCCACAGCAUGGGAGUCAGUAUGGACCCUCCACAGGUGGCCUCUACAGGUGACCGUUGCCACAGGGACCCUGUCCCACCACUAUAUCCAUUCUGGGGAAUUUUCAUCAUUGUGCUUGGGCAAGUUGUCACAUGACAAUUUAUGGACCACGGUGGCCUGUCAUGCAUUCUGUGAAUCCCCCGGGAAGACCUUACCAGAACUGGGGAGGGAAGGGGAUUUCCUAAAACCAUCAGAAACUAAGACAGACAACGUAACGGCAGAAUCUGAGGAGGACUGGGCUUCAGCUCACUGCACAUCCUGGCUUUGUUUCAGAAAAAGAGCCCUUUUGUAAAAGGAGGAAAGGCCUUUCCCGAGAGCAGCAUCUGGAAAUAGGCUGCUGUGCUCCUCUGAGCCCUGAGACUACUCUGGGGGCCGGCAGGACAUGCCCCCUCAUAGACGAGGGCAAUGUUUUGGAUCCAGAAAGAAGGCAAAGCUGAGAAAGAGCUGAAUAGUAGUCCUGGAAGCUACACGCUACGAACAUGCAGAUGUGAUUCCUCAAUAAAUUGCCCGAGGGUCCUGUGUGUGUGUGUGUGUGUGUGUGUGGUACAUGUGUGCAUAUGUGUGUUGUCUGUUGUGUGUGCACACAUGUGUGUGUUGUGUGGUGUAUGUGUGUAUGGUAUGUUCAUACCGUGUGUGUGUGUGUGUGUGUGUGUGUGUGUGUGUGUGUGUGUGAUGGGUGCUGGGACAAUUCUAGCAGGAGAUAGGAGCUGCCACUGGUCAUCCUUCUCCUUUCACCUUCAGAGUCUGGGGGAACAAGUCAAUAAAGACAAGAGACAAAUGCUAUCAGCUGAAGAACCAAUGCUUUUCCCUCUCGAGGAGGAAAGACUUGUUCUCAAUGACUACACAAGACAAGAGGCUGUCUGUCAUUGGCCUUGAAUGCAUUUUCCCACGUUUGUCCUUUGUCUUUUAGAGUCUCUUUGUGGGCCUUUUGUUUGUUUUUGCCAUUGGAAAGCUUCCACUUGUACAUAGUUGAGGUUCUCAGUCUUCUGUGUGGGAUCACUGGCUGUCAUGACGUGCGCAGAAAGAUCUUCCACCCAUGGUUAUAAAAAUAUUUGUCCAGGAUCUCUUCUCCUCCUUAUGAAAUUUUGGGUUUUCCUUUAGAACCUUUAUUGGUUUUGGAAUUUAUUUAUUGUGUUUGGAAGUUAUUUUGUGUAAUGAAUGAAACAAGAGCCCUAUAAACCUUUCACACCAAUCUGUCCUUUUCUUUCACGCUAGUGCUAUUAUAGCUGAAGCAUACCGUCUGACUUUGGUUUUAAGAGCACAGCUGUGGAUGUGACUCUCCUUCCACACUCACCAUUGAUUUGAAAUACUGCCUUUUUAUCGUACAGUUGGAAUACUUUUAAAAAUGCUUCCUCCCACAAAUGCUAUAUGGAGGUUUUGGCCAGAGAUGGGAUGAUUUUCUAAAUUAUUUUGGAUGAGUGUAUAUUUGUAUUACACUAGACUGAAUAUUUCUGUCCAUGCACAAGGGGAUGCCUUUUCACUGAGUCAUGGUACUUCUAUUUCUUGAUAAUUUUGUUUUUUCCCCAUAAUUCAGAUUUAUUUGUAUAAUGUUUAUGUUUCUGUGCUUUUAAAAUGGAUUAGAUUAGGGUUAUAUUUCUAAUACAUUAUAAGAUGUGAAAACUUUCUCAACUCUCUUUUUCUCUUUUCAACACUUUUGUGCUGAAUUUUAGGCUUUCUGUUAUCUGCAAAUAAAGAUAAUUUUUGUCUUCUUUGUUCUAA